rnacentral:rRNA from 1 species
UACGUAGGGGGGCAAGCGUUGUCCGGAAUCAUUGGGCGUAAAGAGCGUGUAGGCGGUUCGUCGCGUCGGCUGUGAAAUCCCGAGGCUCAACCUCGGGUCUGCAGUCGAUACGGGCGGACUGGAGUUCGGCAGGGGAGACUGGAAUUCCUGGUGUAGCGGUGAAAUGCGCAGAUAUCGGGAGGAACACCUGCGGUGUAGACGGCUUACUGGACCGCCACUGACGCUGAGGCACGAAAGCGUGGGUAGCAAACAGG